rnacentral:tRNA from 1 species
UGCUUUCUUAGCUCAUUAGGUAGAGCAUCUGUUUUGUAAGCAGAGGGUGACUGGUUCAAACCCGGUAGGAAGCAUAAA